GAUGAACGCUAGCGACAGGCCUAACACAUGCAAGUCGAGGGGCAGCACGAAGUAAGCUUGCUUACUUUGGUGGCGACCGGCGCACGGGUGCGUAACAGGUGUGCAAUCUGUCCAUAAUCGGGGAAUAGCCCAGCGAAAGUUGGAUUAAUGCUCCAUGUGAGUUUUAGAGGCAUCUCUUUAAUUUGAAACGCAAGGAUUAUGGGUAUAGGAUGGCGAUGCGUGACAUUAGGUAGUAGGUGAGGUAACGGCUCACCUAGCCUACGAUGUCUAGGGGUUCUGAGAGGAAGGUCCCCCACACUGGAACUGAGACACGGUCCAGACUCCUACGGGAGGCAGCAGUGGGGAAUAUUGGGCAAUGGGCGCAAGCCUGACCCAGCAACGCCGCGUGAAGGAAGAAGGUCUUCGGAUUGUAAACUUUUGUUGUCAGUGAAGAAAAGGACUGUAACUGACGAGAAAGCCCCGGNUAAC
rnacentral:rRNA from 1 species